GCUGGGCACAGUGGUGCAUGCCUGCAAUCCCAGUGGUUUGGGAGGCUGAGGCAGGAGGAUCACGAGUUCAGAGCCAGCCUCACCAACUUAGCAAGGUCCUAAGCAACUCAGUGAGACCCUGUCUCUA
rnacentral:sRNA from 1 species